rnacentral:rRNA from 1 species
UACGGAGGGAGCUAGCGUUGUUCGGAAUUACUGGGCGUAAAGCGCACGUAGGCGGCUUUGUAAGUUAGAGGUGAAAGCCCGGGGCUCAACCUGGGAAGUGCACUUGAAACCUCGGAGCUUGAAUGUCGGAGAGGGCAGCGGAAUUCUCGGUGUAGAGGUGAAAUGCGUAGAUAUCGCUUGGAACGCCGAAGGUGAAAACAGGCUGCUGGGGUUGCGCCGACGCUGAGACACGAAAGCCAGGGAGCAAACGGG